rnacentral:lncRNA from 1 species
GUGACAUAUUGCUUUUCCUCUGUUUCUUUUUCCCUAUUAUUAUGUCACCCGAUCGACACUGUCGGGUGACAUAUUGCUUUUCCUCUGUUUCUUUUUCUGUAUUAUGGCACCCUCAACGGAGUUGGGGUGACAUAUUGUUAUUGUUCGUUUCCUUUUUGUCUUAUUAUGGCACCCUCAACGGAGUUGGGGUGACGUAUUGUUAUUCUACGUUUCUUUUUAUGGCACCCUCAACGGAGUUGGGGUGACAUCUUGUUAUUGUUCGUUUCUUUUUUUUCUUUUAUUAUUAUUAUGGCACCCUCAACGAGUUGGGGUGACAUAUUGUUAUUCUACGUUUCUUUUUGUUUUUUUAUUUAUUUUUCUUCCACACAUUUUUGUCCAGUCUGGAACUCUCAUAUGAAUGGACCCAAGAAGAUGGAACUAUACCAUAAUGUUAACCACCAAAUGAAGAUUUGCUUUUUCGGGGUGGCACUUUCAAGAUGGCUGCCGUUACCAUGGAAACGGAACAAAUGUGGAAAAAUCCAGUUUUUUGUUUUGGUGAAGUGUUUGUAUAUGCUUUAACUCAGAAUCAUUAUAUUUUAAUACAAUGUAGGUGUCCACUAUAUACAGGUGUUGGAUGAUUUUGGCACUCAUUGGAACUACUAUGUUGCCAUGGAAACUACUCCAAAAAAUUAAAAAAUCUCAAAAUGUUCCAAACUUAAUGAAACUUCACAGUAACGAUGAGCAACAUUGGAAGAUGUUGAAUUUGGCGUUGGAAUUUCCAAAAUCGCUGUUGUUACCAUGGAAACAAUGCAAAAAGGUCAAAACUUGGAAUUUUCACAGAACAUUCUAGAACAUCAAUGUUUAAUUUAUUCUAGAGACAUUAAAUGGUAUAUGAUUAUGGAGGGAAAAAAUUGCAGCGGUGGUUUGACUUUGGAAUAUUCAAAAUGGCCGCCGUUACCAUGGAAACAGCAAAAAUACGAAAAACUUCAAAAUGCUUCAAAUUUAUUGAAACUUAUAACAAAUGUUGCUCAGCUAAUGUAGACUUGACUUUUGAGUUUAGAAUUUCAAAAUGGCCGCCGUUACCAUGGCUACCGCUCACCUGGCAAUAGGGGAAGGGUGCCAUCCGCUAUUGCUUGCAAUCGCAAAUCUAGUUAUUAUUUUAUUUUUCUUCCACCUAAUUUUGUCCGCUCGCUUUCUCAGAGCCAAAGGAACCAAUCUGAAUGAUGGUGCACUAUAACAAGGAACCCUGACUUUCCUGUUGCUUUUUAAUAUUGGCACUAAAAAAAUGGCUGCCAUCACCAAUGAAACGGAAAAAUGGUGAAAAAAUAUAAUUUUGGAGUUAGGUGAAUUGUUUGAGAAUGCUUAACCUUAAAAUCUUUAGAUUUUAAUACGAUGUAGGUGCCCACUAUAUACUGCUUUGGGAUGAUUUUGGCAAUCAUUGGAACUGCUAUGUUGC